UACAGAGGUCUCAAGCGUUGUUCGGAUUCAUUGGGCGUAAAGGGUGCGUAGGCGGCGCGGUAAGUCGGGUGUGAAAUCUUGGAGCUUAACUCCGAAACUGCAUUCGAUACUGCCGUGCUUGAGGACUGGAGAGGAGACUGGAAUUUACGGUGUAGCGGUGAAAUGCGUAGAUAUCGUAAGGAAGACCAGUGGCGAAGGCGGGUCUCUGGACAGUUCCUGACGCUGAGGCGCGAAAGCCAGGGGAGCGAACGGG
rnacentral:rRNA from 1 species